AUUGAACGCUGGCGGCAGGCCUAACACAUGCAAGUCGAGCGAGUGGCGGACGGGUGAGUAAUGCUUGGGAAUCUAGCUUAUGGAGGGGGAUAACUACGGGAAACUGUAGCUAAUACCGCGUACCAUAGGAUGAGCCCAAGUGGGAUUGGGAAGUUGGUGCGGUAAAGGCUCACCAAGCCGACGAUCUCUAGCUGGUCUGCGAGGAUGACCAGCCACACAGGGACUGAGACACGGCCCAGACUCCUACGGGAGGGAGCAGUGGGGAAUAUUGCGCAAUGGGGGCAACCUGACGCAGCCAUGCCGCGUGAAUGAAGAAGGCCUUCGGGUUGUAAAGUUCUUUCGUUAGCGAGGCGUUAACUACAGAAGAAGCACCGGCUAACUCCGUGCCAGCAGCCGCGGUAAUUC
rnacentral:rRNA from 1 species